ACCUCCCGAUCAUGCUGACCUCAAAGACCCGAGCCUGGCUUACGGGUUUCCCCGAAAACACCAUCCAUAGUUGGGCCAAGUUGAAGGCUCAGUU
rnacentral:snoRNA from 1 species